rnacentral:rRNA from 1 species
AACGAACGCUGGCGGCAGGCUUAACACAUGCAAGUCGAACGCCCCGCAAGGGGAGUGGCAGACGGGUGAGUAACGCGUGGGAAUCUACCCAGCUCUACGGAACAACUCCGGGAAACUGGCGCUAAUACCGUAUACGUCCUUCGGGAGAAAGAUUUAUCGGAGUUGGAUGAGCCCGCGUUGGAUUAGCUAGUAGGUGGGGUAACGGCCUACCAAGGCUACGAUCCAUAGCUGGUCUGAGAGGAUGAUCAGCCACACUGGGACUGAGACACGGCCCAGACUCCUACGGGAGGCAGCAGUGGGGAAUAUUGGACAAUGGGCGAAAGCCUGAUCCAGCCAUGCCGCGUGAGCGAUGAAGGCCUUAGGGUUGUAAAGCUCUUUCAGUGGGGAAGAUAAUGACGGUACCCACAGAAGAAGCCCCGGCUAACUUCGUGCCAGCCGCCGCAGUAAGAC